rnacentral:lncRNA from 10 species
AAAUGAGUCUGUGGACUGGGAGAGGAAGAUCUACCCUCAGUGUGCUUGCUUGUGCUCCUCCUGUGCUUGGACAUCAGACUCCAGGUUCUUCAACCUUUGGACUCUGGGACUUGCACCAGCGGCUUCCCAAGGGUUCUCAGGCCUUAAGCCACAGACUGACGACUGUACUGUCAGCUUCCCUGGUUUUGAGGCUUUUGGACUUGGACUGAGCCACUACUGGCAUCUCUCUUUCCCAGCUUGCAGACAGUCUAUCAUGGGACUUUGCCUU